GGAGGAUGGUGGAAGAGCGAACCGGAAGUUUUGCUCUGAACCUGUGGUGCAACUUUUUUAUCCCUCCCACCUUGCCACCUUCCACCCAAGAUGAAUACCACUAAGCACAGGGCAUGAAACUACAAAUGCAAAAGAACAAUGGGAGUGCUGAGAACAACAGAGAGCAGCAAUCACAGAGAGACAAGAAGACUCCUCCACUUCUCUAUAUGAUCGGAUAUGGGAUGUUACAGGGAGAUGAAACCGGCUAAAUAAAAGCAAGAGGAAAAACUUUCCAUUAAACAGCAAAUUCAAGAAAAGACUUAAAAGGAAAAAGCAAACUAAACCAACUUCUGGAAAAGCAGUUCUGAAUAUUCAGUUCUCCUGUUACAUGAGAAUUCAUUCACCUCCAGGAAACCCAGAGGAAAAGGAGUCAACCUACUCAGUUCCACACAAGCAGAAGGAAGUGGCAAGCCAAGGAGUUUAUAGAAAAAGAGCAUUACAUUCAGCAAAGACAAUGCCACAGUUUGAAAGACGGCAUCUCAAGCAAUAAUAUUCCUGCAAGUCUCUAAUACUUUGAGUUGCUCUUUUCUGAAAAGGAGUUAAGUGCCAUUGGGACUGAUCCCUGUUUUGAGGUUCAUGCCUUCCUCAUGGUCACUUACU